ACGCUCGACACCUACGGAGGCAGCAGUGGGGAAUAUUGCACAAUGGGGGAAACCCUGAUGCAGCGACGCCGCGUGGAGGAAGAAGGUCUUCGGAUUGUAAACUCCUGUUGUUGGGGAAAAAGAGGAUGGUACCCAACAAGGAAGUGACGGCUAACUACGUGCCAGCAGCCGCGGUAAUCUGAGGCGGGCGUGGCAAGGC
rnacentral:rRNA from 1 species